CAUGUUAAAAACAGUUCAACUAUGUUGAUUGUAAUUAUGAAGUAAAAAUGUAAAUGUUUCUAGAUACUGAUCCUGGAAAUGAUUGAUUGCUUAUUUGCAAAUCAUUUUUUAUAUUGUUGUCAUUACCUUGGUUGAACAUCCCAAGAAGCUGGUCUCAUUGGCUGUUGGUUUAUCAGCCUGGGCCAUCACAACUUUUGGCCCCCAAGGUGUUGGCUCCUCUUGUUUUCUCUGUCCAGAGACAACCCGAGCAGUUGGCUGGUUCACCUUCUACAAUGAGAAACGGCCACUCAUCAACACACAGAGUCUUGUCAUCCCCCUCCGGUUGAGCAAACUGCAAAGACAUAGUAAGAAUUAUAUGUACAUUACAAUUGAGAAAUGGAAACCCAAAAUUACACUUUCUUAGGAACUUAGAGAAAAUAUCAAAAGAAUAGAGAACCGCACUCUAUUCACUGAAUGUGUUUAAUCAUUACAUGUUGUAUGCAAAUUACCUUGCUCGAAUGCACAAAGACGCUGCCCUCCAGAGUGGCUGGCACAGCAGCUUCUGGAACAGGUCGAGGAGGAGGUACGCCCUCCAGAGUAGCUGGUACAGCAGCUUCUGGAACAGGUCGAGGGGGAGGUACCAGCUUCGAAGCUAUCAUACCAAUGUACAAACCUCAUGAGGAAGGAUCCGCACGGAAAACUGAUCCCAGUCCUCAGGCGCAUCCCAGGACUCAGUUUCCUUGAAGGGGUCAAGGGGACGUGGACGUGAAACUUCUCCCUUCACAACCACGGUAGUAGCAAAGGGUCUCACAGUCGGCGGUGACUUGGGAGGAGACACAGGCGGAGGUGUAACAGGCAGAGGUGACUGUAGCUGCCGAAAGGAGAAGUGCCACAGAAGCUUCGCGAGAAGCGGCAUCCCCAGAUCGUCACUCAGGUGGAUCUAUUAUAAUGAGAAGCACGGGUUAUUAUUGAAAUAAACUGCUUUUGCCGUAUAAAAAUGACAUUUCAUGAAUUUCUCACGUGCCAAGUUAUAACACGACUUACCCCAUCACGACUCCACAAGGCACGCGAGUCCAGCGGAAAGCGGUCAGCUGUGACGCAGUACUUUACACCUGCAGAAGAAUACAAAUAUUAAACCAUACACUAUAUUCAUAUUUUACACGUGGUACCAAGAGGUGGUGUUGAUACACUAAAAGCUUUCCUACAAAGAUAUUCUAUACUGACAUUAUCUCUUAAUCAUUUUUACAUACCGUUCUUUACUGCAACGCGACGAAACUCCUCUCGAAGGAAUUGUUGCGGUGCCAAUUCACUCGCCAGCCGGGGAGGGAAAUCGAGCACAAACACCUGAUCCGCA
rnacentral:lncRNA from 1 species